rfam:Cajanus cajan CcLG08_262, whole genome shotgun sequence.
UAGUUAUUCUGAUAUUGGCCUGGUUCACUCAGACAUGAAACAAAGCCAUAGAUUUUAGUUUGAUUGAGCCGUGCCAAUAUCUCACUGCUAUUU